rnacentral:sRNA from 1 species
UAACCAUCCUUGUGAGGAGCUCAUGCAAACCCUAACUCCUCUUCUUCAUCAAUUGCAGUUCCUCUCUAAGUUCACCUAAUUAUGUUUGUAUAUAUAUUAACGUUCUAAGAGCAUCUCCAAUGGAAGUAUCUCAAUGAGAUACCUAACAAAAGAAAAAAAAUUAAAAAAAAAAUAUGAGAGAAGGGAGAAAAAGUAGGAGAGAAGGAGAGUUAAAUUUCUCGGAUGAUUGGACAGGUGUAAUCACACUAUUAGUUCAACUAUUAAAUAAUAAUUAAUGUAUCUGUUUUGAUUAAAAUAUUAAUUAAUAUGUUUUUGAGAAACUUUCUUUAUUUUUACUGGUGGAGAUGGUCUAAUGUUCCAUGGUUCAUAUAACGGAGCAAAUUAAAGCAUUGUAAUCAU